rnacentral:rRNA from 1 species
UACGUAGGGUGCAAGCGUUGCCCGGAAUUAUUGGGCGUAAAGAGCUCGUAGGCGGCUUGUCGCGUCGGCUGUGAAAACCUGGGGCUCAACCCCGGGCCUGCAGCCGAUACGGGCAAGCUAGAAUUCGGUAGGGGAGACUGGAAUUCCUGGUGUAGCGGUGAAAUGCGUAGAUAUCAGGAGGAACACCGGUGGCGAAGGCGGGUCUCUGGGCCGAUAUUGACGCUGAGGAGCGAAAGCGUGGGGAGCGAACAGG